AUUGAACGCUGGCGGCAGGCCUAACACAUGCAAGUCGAACGGUAGCACAGAGAGCUUGCUCUCGGGUGACGAGUGGCGGACGGGUGAGUAAUGUCUGGGAAACUGCCCGAUGGAGGGGGAUAACUACCGGAAACGGUAGCUAAUACCGCAUAACGUCGCAAGACCAAAGUGGGGGACCUUCGGGCCUCACACCAUCGGAUGUGCCCAGAUGGGAUUAGCUAGUAGGUGGGGUAAUGGCUCACCUAGGCGACGAUCCCUAGCUGGUCUGAGAGGAUGACCAGCCAGACUGGAACUGAGGCACGGUCCAGACUCCUACGGGAGGCAGCAGUGGGGAAUAUUGCACAAUGGGCGCAAGCCUGAUGCAGCCAUGCCGCGUGUAUGAAGAAGGCCUUCGGGUUGUAAAGUACUUUCAGCGGGGAGGAAGGCGGUGAAGUUAAUAACUUCACCGAUUGACGUUACCCGCAGAAGAAGCACCGGCUAACUCCGUGCCAGCCGCCGCCGUAA
rnacentral:rRNA from 1 species